CCAUUAGGUUCCAAAAAUCGAAAUCCUAGAAAGAGGAAAGCAAAUGAUCAAAAUGACACUACGAAAGAAUCUCAUGAGGAAAUUCAUGAUUUAAGAAAUUCUAAGAUUCAUGAAGAAUCCAUUGAGCCCGAGGCUCUGAAAAAUACUGAACUAUCCAUAAAUCCAAUCAAUAUUGAGGCAAAUAUUAAUCGAGUGGAUAUAGUGGUGGAU
rnacentral:lncRNA from 1 species